GAUGAAGAACGCAGCGAAAUGCGAUAAGUAAUGUGAAUUGCAGAAUUCAGUGAAUCAUCGAAUCUUUGAACGCACAUUGCGCCCGCCAGUAUUCUGGCGGGCAUGCCUGUUCGAGCGUCAUUUCAACCCUCAAGACCCCUUCGGGGGACUUGGUGUUGGGGACCGGCACAGGGGCCUGCCUGCUUGUCUUGCAGCGCCCUCGCCGCCCCCGAAAUGAAUUGGCGACCUCGUCGCGGCCUCCCCUGCGUAGUAACACAACCUCGCAACGGGAACGUGACGGCGGCCACUGCCGUAAAACAACCCCAAUUUUAUUAGAGUUGACCUCGAAUCAGGUAGGAAUACCCGCUGAACUUAAGCAUAUCAAUAAGCGGAGGA
rnacentral:misc_RNA from 1 species